rnacentral:rRNA from 1 species
ACGUAGGGGGCGAGCGUUGUCCGGAAUUAAUGGGCGUAAAGGGUGCGUAGGUGGCCUUUUAAGUUGGAUGUGAAAUACCCGGGCUUAACUUGGGGGGUGCAUCUAAUACUGGAGGGCUAGAGUGCAGGAGAGGGAAGGGGAAUUCCUAGUGUAUCGGUGAAAUGCGUAGAUCUUAGGUGGAAAACCAGUGGCGGAGGCUCCUUUCUGGAGUGUAACUGAUACUGUGGCACGAAAUCGUGGGGAGCGAACAG